rnacentral:rRNA from 1 species
CCUACGGGUGGCAGCAGUCGAGAAUCAUUCACAAUGGGGGAAACCCUGAUGGUGCGACGCCGCGUGGGGGAAUGAAGGUCUUCGGAUUGUAAACCCCUGUCAUGUGGGAGCAAAUUAAAAAGAUAGUACCACAAGAGGAAGAGACGGCUAACUCUGUGCCAGCAGCCGCGGUAAUACAGAGGUCUCAAGCGUUGUUCGGAAUCACUGGGCGUAAGGCGUGCGUAGGCUGUUUCGUAAGUCGUGUGUGAAAGGCGCGGGCUCAACCCGCGGACGGCACAUGAUACUGCGAGACUAGAGUAAUGGAGGGGGAACCGGAAUUCUCGGUGGAGCAGUGAAAUGCGUAGAUAUCGAGAGGAACACUCGUGGCGAAGGCGGGUUCCUGGACAUUAACUGACGCUGAGGCACGAAGGCCAGGGGAGCGAAAGGGAUUAGAUACCCCAGUAGUC